rnacentral:precursor_RNA from 1 species
AAAAGAUAGGGAUACUCGUCGUCGCCUCUUUGUCGUAUCUGCCUAUGCCCCCACUGACUGCAGUUCAGACGAGGUGAAAGAUGAGCUUUACAGCAAGCU